GCUGGUCAACGUUGCACCAGUUACCUGAUCCAAACCUGGAACACACUUGCCCACUGGUGUUUUGUGUCCCACAGGCUCCAGACUGACGUGGAAGACGCCUGGGCGCCAUGGCCGCAUAGCGGUUCCCGCGACGCUGUUACAGCUCGGGGCGUUCUGGAGUUCGGACUUCAAUUCCGGUGUCUUUCUUUAGCAAGAAGCACAUGAAGGCUAUCAGCCCGAGAACACUGAAUUGGUCAUACAUGACAGAUGCCGAUUGAUUUGCUGUGUAUAUCUGGUUUGGAAACACCCAUAUUUAAGGUAUUUAAAUACAUUAUUCUGUGAAGGGGUUCGGAGGCUUCACCGGACUGCCAAAAGGGUCCAUGGCAUAUAAAAAAAAGUUUACAAACCCUUUCUAUAAUGUGAAUAUUGAAUGGCAGGGCAGGCUUGAGCGUAACUGACUGGCUUACUCCAAUUCCUAUUUCCUUGUGUGUUCUGAAUCCACUGGUGAACCAGACGGAUGUACCUGGUUUAGUGGUGCCUCAACAACCACCCAUCUAUUCCUGGGCAGUAACACAUUGGAUAACCUUCCUGUGCCCAGCAAUCAUAAAAAAGUAAAGAUGUUGAGUGCUUUCUUCAGGAGGUUUGGCUUCUCAACAAACACCAAUAAACUUGUACAGAAGUACUGUUGAAGUAUCCCAAUUAGUUGAAUCAUAGUCUGGUACAGCAAUUCAAUUCAAAUACUGGUACACAUGGUCCUGUUUAGAUCAACGAUGUAGAGGUUGAGCGUUGAGAGCUUCAAGUUUCUAGGAGUGAACAUCGUACACAGUUCUGGUCCAAACACAUGGUUAAGAAUGCUCACCAGUACCUCUACUUCCUCAGAUUUAGCAUGGCCUUGUCAAGCCUUACCAAUUUUUAAACAAUGCACCUCAGAAAGAAUCCUAUCUGGUUGCAUCACAGCGUGACAUGACUACUGCUCUGCUCUGAUUGUGUAUAGAGUCCAGGAAACUGACACCAGCCAUCCAUCUGUGGUCACCGUCUAUACUGCUCACUGUUCCCUUAAGGCAACAAGCAUUAUCAAAGGCCUCACCCACCCUGGGCAUACUCUCCUCUUCUCUCUUCCGCCGGUCAGAAGAUUAAAAUAGGCUUGAAAGCAUAUAGCAACUGGCUUAAGGACAGUUUGUACCCCAUUGUUAUAAGACUAUUAAAGGAGGACUCUUGACCUCUCAGUCAAUCUCAUUAUAAUCUUGCAUGUCUGCACUUUCUCUGUAGACGUCACACUUUAUUCUGCGUUGUUAUCGUACUACCUCAAUGCAUUAUGUAACAAAUUGAUCUGUACUGACUGUACACAAGAUAUCUCCUCAGUAUGUGACAAUAAACUAACAAUAGAUAGCAAUAGCAAAGCCCCCUAUUCAUUACAGUUUUGCAACACUAUGACAACCCUGCACAAAAAUUGACUUUUUAAAAUUCUAACCGCGUUCUUUCUCGUAACAAAAUUGUGUUCGUGUUUUUCUUGUGGUUACUGCUUACAUGAUGUCAAGUCCCUAUACAACAGCUGCAGGCAAGUUGAUUAGAUCUGUGCAUAAAUGGACCCACACACAACAAUAAACUUGACUCAGUCACUUCUUGGUCACAUUUAUGAAUAUUGGCAAACUUAUCUCAUAUCUGUUUAACCACUAAGGACAUUUAAUUUCCUCAGUUGCUUUACUGUGAUCUAAACUAGUGUCCGAGUACAGGUCAGUGAUUGUGAUCGCUGAGUGCAAACGUUCAUGUAAUUAGUGAACAAAAGUGCAAACACACCUAAGCCAUCACCUGGGGAUCUGGUUAUGAUUGUGAACUCACAUUCCCUGUUUUCAGGCCAGCUUUCAGGGGUAAGUAGAACCCCCAACACUGGAACGCUGCACAGAGGAACCCAGCCAGAACGGUUGUGGGUGAGGGGGUAUAUCCCCUCGGGAGGUACGACCGCGAGGC